GCGGGCGUAGCUCAGUGGUAGAGCACAACCUUGCCAAGGUUGGGGUCGAGGGUUCAAGUCCCUUCGCCCGCUCCA
rnacentral:tRNA from 2 species